UCCAGACUCCUACGGGAGGCAGCAGUGGGGAAUAUUGCACAAUGGGGGAAACCCUGAUGCAGCGACGCCGCGUGAGUGAAGAAGUAUUUCGGUAUGUAAAGCUCUAUCAGCAGGGAAGAAAAACCGACCAUAGGGUCGCUAGACGGUACCUGAUUAAGAAGCCCCGGCUAACUACGUGCCAGCAGCCGCGGUAAUACGUAGGGGGCAAGCGUUAUCCGGAUUUACUGGGUGUAAAGGGAGCGUAGACGGCAGCGCAAGUCUGAAGUGAAAGCCCGCGGCUCAACUGCGGAACGGCUUUGGAAACUGAGUAACUGGAGUGCUGGAGGGGCAGGCGGAAUUCCUGGUGUAGCGGUGAAAUGCGUAGAUAUCAGGAGGAACACCAGUGGCGAAGGCGGCCUGCUGGACGACAACUGACGGUGAGGCGCGAAAGCGUGGGGAGCAAACAGGAUUAGAUACCCGGGUA
rnacentral:rRNA from 1 species